rnacentral:rRNA from 1 species
UACGAAGGGGGCUAGCGUUGCUCGGAAUUACUGGGCAUAAAGGGUGCGUAGGCGGCUUGUUAAGUCAGGGGUGAAAGUUUUCGGCCCAACCGGAAAAUUGCCUUUGAUACUGGCGAGCUGGAGUGCGUGAGGGGUGACCGGAACGAGUGGUGUAGCGGUGAAAUGCGUAGAUAUCACUCGGAAGGCCAACGGCGAAGGCAGGUCACUGGUGCGCAACUGACGCUGAGGCACGAAAGCGUGGGGAGCAAACAGG